CUCAGAGGCUUUUCGGGCAAAAGGUCUGUCAGCGAAUCCAAGCAAGUCUCCCAAAACCCUCAUUUCUCUCGAUUUUUGCUCGGAAAUCGCCAUUUCUUUCUUCAGUUCCAACCAUUUCAUCGAUUGAAGGUGAAAGGAGCUUCGAAAUUCUCGUUUCUCGGACGUGCAGAGAUGUCAGAUCAGAACUUUGUGAAUGAAGACUGAAGUAGCGGAGCAGUUAAAAGAGAGGGAGGAUCGCAAUGGAGAUUAUAAGCAGUUUAAAAGAAAUGUUGCUGACUCAAUUGCAUUUGGGAAGUUAAGAGGGAAAAUCAGUAGAAGGAAUCUGAUAUCGGUUGAAGUUAAUGAUAAGGAAAUCAGUAGGAGGAAUCUGAUAUUGGUUCGUUUCAAUCAUCUUACAUUAAGGUCAACCAAGGUGGACUCGAUAGACUAAUCAAACUUUCAUCUAUAAUUUCUGAAGACCCAUCUGUGCUACAAGAGGCAUGGCACAGUUUGUGAGCAAUUUUGCUGAACCAGGAGAUCCUGAGUAUGCUCCUCCAGUCCAAAAGGGUGAAACUCCGGUAAGAAACUCUACUGCAUGGGAUAUUCUCCUUCACAUGCUUGGUUGUAUAGAUGCUACUUGUAGAUAUUUUUCUUGAUGGAAUCCCAAGUUGUAUCCUGUGGAUAGUGCAAGUUGUGCAGAUUUGUUCCGCUUUUUGGACAAAUAAUUGUUUCCUUGAAAUCGAUAGGCAAAACAUCAUUUGAUGUUUUUUACUUUUUAAUUAUAUUGAUGUACUUUAUAAUUUUUUUUUUGUCCUUCUCUUGUGUAAUAUAUUUGUGCUCUGGGUUUUUAUUUUGAUGUUUUUUAGCUCAUGGGUUUUCUUUUUUUCUUUUUCUUUUUCUUUUUUGAUGGAGCUUUUUUCCUGUUUGUUUUCAUUUAUUGAA